rnacentral:misc_RNA from 1 species
UACGGUGAUCCUAGAAACCAACAAAAUAGAACCAUGCCGUCCUAUUUUAUUAUUCCAUGCUAACCUAUUCAGGCACUUGCCUGCUUUAAGCACUCUAAUUUUUUCAAGGUAAUAGUUCUGCUUCCCCGGCGCACCAAAUUAAUGGCAUGCCGGUUAUUCAGAAGGUAGGAACCCAUCACACCAGUACGGACCGUGAAGCCCGACCA